AUUGAACGCUGGCGGCAGGCCUAACACAUGCAAGUCGAGCGGAGCGGCGGACGCGUACGUAAUGCCUAGGAAUCUGCCUGGUAGUGGUGGAUGACGUCCGAAAACGGGCGCUAAUAUCGCAUACUAUCAGAUUAGCCUAGGUCGGUUUAGCUAGUUGGUGGGGUAGAGGCCUACAAAGGCGACGAUCCGUAACUGGUCUGAGAGGAUGAUCAGUAAAAUUGGAACUGAGACACGGUCCAGACGCCUCCGGGAGGAAGCAGUGGGGAAUAUUGGACAAUGGGCGAAAGCCGGAGGCAGCCAUGCGGGGUGUGUGAAGAAGGUCUUCGGAUGGUAAAGCACUUUAAGUUGGGAGGCGUUACCAACAGAAUAAGCACCGGCUAACUUCGUGCCAGCCGCCGCGGUAAUAC
rnacentral:rRNA from 1 species